rnacentral:lncRNA from 1 species
GUUUUCCUGUUACUAUCACUGUAGCGUUUAUUUAGCCAAUCUCCUAACUGUGACGUGAGGAAGGCAGGAAUCAUGGCUCGCUCAUAAUAUUUAACACACCCACUGGAAGCUGGAGCUGCAGAGCUACCCGUCCAACCCGUCUCCAGAACCCAGUGUGGCUGAAAGAGUUGUGCCAUCCGACAGUUUUGCAGCCAAAAAAACCCAACCCACGCCAAAGGCAAAGCACAGCUCGGAUACAGCAGCCACCCCGGCUGGAUCUCAGCUGAGCGCUCAUCUCUCCCGAGCGGCGGACAAAGCGAUGGAUGAAGGAACUGGAACCGCUCGGAGAAAAUGAUUUUGCAGCCAAUGUUCUUAAGCAGUCUCACAGAAGAGAGGGAGCGAGCGGAGAGCGCUUCUGCUGCAUCACUGGGCGCAUUCAAAGGAAGGAGUCAGCGUUUCCUGCACUGCCAAACGUUAUGGAUGAUUUUUUUCCUUCUGUCGCCUUUCCGUACAGCCUGUUUCUGUCGCGGCGCCUAUGGAGAUAACUUUAUUGACUUGAUCGUUCGCUGCCCGACCCGCCAGGAGAGCGCCGGAGCCCCGGGGGGGGCGGAAGACCCGCGCCCGCUGCCGGCCGACCCCGCCGCCUCCCCCCCUUCCCUCCCCCGCUAAUUCAUCACC